rnacentral:sRNA from 1 species
CCUGUGCUUAUUCUGUGGUGGCUCAUCCCAGAUAUUACCUCAAGGUCUUGGUACAGAAGACUCCAACACAGAUGUAGUUCAGAAAGCUGGGAGAAGGGAAAGAUUUAGAAAAUCUGUCAAAUCUUCAAGAGAUUGGGUUCUAGAAAAGAAAGAAAGACGACGACGACAGGGGAAG